GAUGAACGCUGGCGGCGUGCCUAAUACAUGCAAGUCGAGCGAACAGACGAGGAGCUUGCUCCUCUGACGUUAGCGGCGGACGGGUGAGUAACACGUGGAUAACCUACCUAUAAGACUGGGAUAACUUCGGGAAACCGGAGCUAAUACCGGAUAAUAUAUUGAACCGCAUGGUUCAAUAGUGAAAGACGGUUUUGCUGUCACUAAUAGAUGGAUCCGCGCCGCAUGAGCUGGUUGGUAAGUUAACGGCUUACCAAGGCAACGAUGCGUAGCCGACCUGAGAGGGUGAUCGGCCACCCUGGAGCUGGGACACGGUCAAGACGACUACGGGAGGCAGCAGUAGGGAAUCUUCCGCAGUGGGCGAAAGCAUGACGGAGCAACGCCGCGUGAGUGAUGAAGGUCUUCGGAUCGUAAAACUCUGUUAUUAGGGAAGAACAAAUGUGUAAGUAACUAUGCCCGUCUUGACGGUACCUAAUCAGAAAGCCACGGCUAACUACGUG
rnacentral:rRNA from 1 species